GCACCUGGAAGAAUUCUGCAAGAACUCUAGCCUAACGGUCAUCCUUUAGAAUUUGAAAAUUGAGACCAAGAUAAUCUAAGUGAAUCAUCCACAACUGACACAAUUGAUUCAAAAUUUAAAUACUUCCCAAUUUUAUAGGCAAACAUAAGCCCAUGGAUUUUGAUACAUGAUCUUCUAGAGAAUUCCAGCUGCUCUGUAGAUGAAGCACUCAGAAUAUCCUCUGCUCUGCUCCGAUUCACCUUCAUUUCGGGACCCAGACUAACAGAGAAGCUUCUAGCUGAAGCACCACUGGUUGUGGUGGCAGAAGGAAGAGCAAAUUAGUUGGACCAUGUGCUAGCCCGUGAAGGUUCUGCUCAGAAGUAUCGCAUGUUGUCUCUGCUCACAAGGCAAGUCCAAGAUUUCGUCUGAGUAUAGUCUUCCUGCUGGGAUAAGCAUCAAAUAUAGGUCCUAGGAUCUCUAGAGGAAAGAACCUGGCCUGCCUUACUCUGUUCUAGAACUACCGCUCCAGUAGUCAUAACAAAAGUUAUGUUAACGUUGACAAUGCUGAUGAAGUAGAGGUGACCCAACAAGGACUAAGGUGUUACCAAGACUGUCCAAUCCAAUCACAGAGCCAAAGAGUGGUCCCAGGGCCCCCUGAAGACCAUUGCAGGUGGGAAAUUUCUUCCAUGAGUGAUAGGCACCCUAUGCUCCUUGACCCUCUACCUACAUCUGCUAAGAAUAUCUUUCACUCAAAGCCAGGUGAAUUGGGAGUCAACUAGUAGUGAACAUCCCACCAAGUGAAGCUGAGUCCAUUAGUUUCAAAAACUUAAUUUAAGGGAAAAAAACUACAAAAAAAUUGCCAUAUUCUCUGAAGUGAAACAACUUGUAUUAGAACAUGAAUUCCAUUGAAAGUGUGAUGUCUUGAAGUUCUGCCCAGAGUUUUGAUGUGCUAACCAUAAAAAUCUUUAAAGAGUAGAGAUUACACAUUGUGACUGUGAUAAUUUAGGCAUUUCUUUUCGGAAAUUUUAUUUUAAGGAAUAUCCUUGAAAUAAUCUUAUUCUACUGUAGCAUUCUGGUUGGAAUUUUAAAAGAACAAUAAACUUA